AUACGGGGGAUGCAAGCGUUAUUCGGAUUUAUUGGGCGUAAAGAGCGCGUAGGCGGCUUGGUAAGUCAGAUGUGAAAGCCCGGGGCUCAACCCCGGAAGUGCAUUUGAAACUAUCAGGCUUGAGUAUGGGAGAGGGAAGUGGAAUUCCUGGUGUAGAGGUGAAAUUCGUAGAUAUCAGGAGGAACACCGGUAGCGAAGGCGACUUCCUGGACCAAUACUGACGCUGAGGCGCGAAGGCGUGGGGAGCAAACAGGAGUAGAAACCCUAGUAGUCC
rnacentral:rRNA from 1 species